rnacentral:rRNA from 1 species
UACGUAGGGUGCAAGCGUUUGUCCGGAAUUAUUGGGCGUAAAGAGCUCGUAGGCGGUCUGUCGCGUCGGAUGUGAAAAUCCAGGGCUUAACCCUGGACCUGCAUUCGAUACGGGCAGACUAGAGUUCGGUAGGGGAGACUGGAAUUCCUGGUGUAGCGGUGAAAUGCGCAGAUAUCAGGAGGAACACCGGUGGCGAAGGCGGGUCUCUGGGCCGAUACUGACGCUGAGGAGCGAAAGCGUGGGGAGCGAACAGG